GAAUAAGCAUCGGCUAACUCCGUGCCAGCAGCCGCGGUAAUACGGAGGAUGCGAGCGUUAUCCGGAUUCACUAGGUUUAAAGGGUGCGUAGGCGGGCAAAUAAGUCAGGGGUUAAAGGCAGUGGCUCAACCAUAUGCAUGCCCUUGAUACUGUAUGUCUUGAGUAUUGUCGAGGGUGGCGGAAUGUGCAGUGUAGCGGUGAAAUGCUUAGAUAUUGCACAGAACACCGAUAGCGAAGGCAGCUGCCCAGCCAAUAACUGACGCUGAGGCACGAAAGCGUGGGGAUCAAACAGGAUUAGAUACCCUGGUAGUCCACGCAGUAAACGAUGAAUACUAGCUGUAUGCGAUAUACUGUAUGUGGCAAAGCGAAAGCGUUAAGUAUUCCACCUGGGGAGUACGUUCGCAAGAAUG
rnacentral:rRNA from 1 species